UCUAGUGAUGAUGGCAAAGAGGUCACACCCGUUCCCAUACCGAACACGGAAGUUAAGCUCUUUAGCGCCAAUGGUAGUUGGGGGCUUCCCCCUGUGAGAGUAGGACGUCGCUAGGC
rnacentral:rRNA from 2 species